GUGCUCACAUCGGCAGCACGUAUACUAAAAUUGGAAGAAUGCAGAGAAGAUUAGCAUGGCCCCUGCACAAGUACGGCAUGCAAAUUUGUGAAGGGUUCCAUGUUUUA